rnacentral:misc_RNA from 1 species
AAUUUACGUGGUUCGGCCAAGGUGGCCUACGUUCACGGAGGAAUCCAGCGAGAUUAUUUUUCAGUAUCUCCAAAAACUCUUACAAUUCAGCCGCUGCGGCUGCUAGGCUCUAGCCACAGUUUCACUGCCCAUCAAUCUUCUAUGGUCCAGGGCAAAAUCCAAAGAAAGAAACUUGGGAAUUUCUUGAUGGAACACGCCGUUCAACUUUGCCACGCCAAUGUUGAGGAUUCCCAUAGGUUCACCGGCUGGAUUUCGCACAGGAAAUGCCACAAACUUUGGGCUUUCUCCUUCGCUGCAACCAUGAUCUUUGCUUAUCAAGUUGUCCAGCAACACUCGUACCACACCAAUUCUUCUAUCUUUGACGAAUCUCCGAACGCGGAAGAUCUAAAAAACUAUGCAAGAAUGAUUUCUCGAAACAUCACCAUAUUCAUCCACUACAAAAAUGAAUUUGUCGUUCCAUGUAGGACUGUCGUGGCCUUCUUUGUCAAUCCUCGACGUGAGCAUCUGCUUCCGGUUGAGAUGUACCAGCAAAUAAGUCUGCAAAAGUGAUGACUUUCUUCUACGCCCGAGGAAUUGGGCUGAUAUCAGGUUGAUCUCCAUGAUCAAUGGCUUACAAGUUGAGGUUUCCAUGUUGUCUAGUAAAUGAAAAGGGUUUUCUUGGUGUUGGUUUCUUGGAAAGACGAGAGUGAGUUUGUUGAUCAAGGAUCAAAAACAAAGUGUUCUGAGGGUUGUUGGCCAUGGAAAAAACAGGGGAGGUUUUCAUUAGAGAAAAAAAUGUCGGUUUAUGUUACUGUGAAAUAUAUAAUGUUGGACCAACCGCCCAAGAAAACCUAGUCCUUCCAGGAGAGCAAAUUAUUGGGUUAUGCACUAAAAAAUAAUGCACCCAUCACUCAUAAAAAAUCAGUAAAGCAAACAUUUGGAUGAGUAGUAAUGUAGUUGCUUGAGGUCAUUCGAGCGAACUAAUUUUUGUGGGUCUUUCCAGAUGCAUAAUCACAUUCCAUCAAUAAGAAAACCCUCCUCUUGUAUAAUGAACAAAUCAAUUCAUAGUUAAAAGGAAUGAUUUGCAUAGUGCUUGAGGAUUUAAAGAAUUCUUCCCCUUGUAUUGUUUCUUUUUGAAUAAGCAAUAUGUGUCUCUCUCCAACUCUACUCAAAUGAACUCAAGUAAAUACAUAUUAUUCUGUAUUAUACAUGUUCCCAAAAUUACCUAUAAACUAAUGACAAAGUGACAACCCAGCAGCUGGGCACAUCCAACCUCCAUAUAUGUGGAAAAAUCAAUUUCUAAAAAAAAUAUCAGGCUACUUCACGAAUCAUAUUGUUAAUGAGCAAAAUCUGUGGUUUUCUUAUGAUCAUGGUAAUGAAAAGAGUAAUUAACCAUGUAGUCCAUUCCAUUAGCAUCCCACUGACAAUGAUCUUAGUCCAUUGAAUUCUUGGACCCCUUCUUUCAGAGAUUAAUGAAAAAAUACUUCAUUGCCUUCUGCGGCUGCUAUAUAAUGAUUUUGAUUGGAUAGACAAAAGCAAUAAGAUACAUUCAUCUUCAAUGUUACCUCUGUUAAACGUUGAAGCGAAAUAGCAUGACAUCUCCUUCUUCAACUAUGUAAUCUUUGCCCUCGGAUCUCAACAGUCCUUUUUCCCUUGCUGCUGCUAAUGAACCAGCAGCAACAAAAUCAUCAUAGGACACCGUUUCAGCUCGAAUGAAACCUUUCUCAAAGUCAGAGUGUAUCACCCCAGCAGCUCGAGGUGCAGUCAUUCCUGCUAAUAUGGUCCAUGCUUUUGUUUCCUUUUCACCAGAAGUAAAGUAUGUCCGUAGCCCCAAAAGGUUGUAUGUUGCCCUAAUAAGGUUCCCAAGGCCACUGUCACUUACACCAAGUGAUUUCAAAUAUUCUGUUCUCUCUUCAGAUGGCAGUUCAGUUAGCUCUGACUCAACCUGUGCUGAAAUUGCAACCAGUCCAGAUUGCAACUGAGAUGCGAGAUUCAUCACUUCCUUCACAUGUGGGUUAUUUUCAGGAGAAGCUAGGUCUGAUUCUGAAACAUUUGCCACAUAUAUGACUGGCUUAAUGGUAAGCAAGCAGAGAUGCUUUACGGCAUCCUUUUCAAAAUCAGAUAAUGCUACAGAUCGUGCCGGCUUUCCAUCCAUAAGUGCCCCCUGAAUCCUUUCCAAAGCAGACUUUUCUGCUUCCUCCAGAUGUCAAGAAAAUUGCAUUCACACAUUCAAAACCAUCAAGCUUUUAUUAUCAAUGCAUCUACCUGUACAAAUAAGAAAGGCUAUUUGUAUAUUAAAAAAAAAGCCCUUGAGUUUAGAUUGUGAAUCCUUUUCCUUCCCUUUUUUAAGCUUCUCUAAUCUUUUCCCAAUCUGCAUUUCUUGCAAAAUAUACAAUUUGGUUGUAUUAGCUUAUCUGGCAGUGGUUAAUAAAUAUAAAACCGCAACAAUAAUGCUAGAAGACUACGAACUGCAAUAGCUGACAAAGAUAAAACAUAAUAAGAAUACUCAGUUAGGCAUAUCAUUAAGAACCCUCUCUUAUGCACAGACAAACAGAAAAACAACAGUGCUGUACGCACUCUCUUUAGCAUACCUCGUCCAAAUGUGACAAAAUGAGUUCUAGUUUGAUUAAAUCUAUAUCAGCCUUAGGAUCAACUCUGCCAUUCACAUGAACAAUGUCAUCAUCUUCAAAACAGCGCAAACCUGAAACAAGAAUUUGUAGGCCAUUAAUAACAUUGUAUGGAGAAGUAAUCAACAAAAAUUUCUUUUUUGCUUAGCAAUGAUAUAAAGGAUUUUUAAAACAUGGUAACUAUGUCCAAUAUUUUCUACAAUUUCAUGAAAAAUUGUAUCUCAAUUGAUUUAAAAACCCCUCAAAUUAUAUAUUACCAUUCCUUGAACCUUCGAGGAUGAGCCAUAUUUUUUCCUUUUUUUUCCUCUGAUUUCUUUCCAUCCCUCAAUUAAACCAGCUCUGAUACUUAAUUUAUGAAUCCUAAUUUGUCUUCAUCAAUCUGAAACCAGCAUGAGGGUGACUUUGUGUAACAGUGAAGUACUCCAUUUGUGACUUGGAGGUCACGGGUUCGAGCCGUGGCAACUGUCUCUCUGCGAAGCAUGAGUAAGACUGCAUACAUCAACCUUUCCCCAAAGCCAACAAUUGUGGGAUACUUCACACAUUGGGCCACCCCUUUAAUCUUAAACAAGGUAAUUCAAAACCUAUUGCAUAUGUCUAGAUUUUUAAUGCAAACUAUAAUACAGUUUUGCAAUACCAUCCCUAAACAAAAAUCCCAAGCAAUUAUGUAUAUAAGCAGUAAAUAUUGUAACAGUUUAUACCUUUCAGUCAUCUAAUCUAAUCUUAGAGUUAGAGCUCAUGUGAAAUUAUUAAGUCUAAAGUGUUGAAAAAAGGCCGACUCAAUGCUAACAUGGCAAGUGGAUCCAUCACUAAUAAUGCGCUUGAUAUUGUAGUCUUAUCCAUGAAUCACUUUUUGUUAACUUAUCGUAUUAGUUUAUUGUGGGAUCCACCAUACACACAGCUCUAGUUAAUCAGUUUGUUAUUUUAGUGGACCUUAACUAGACUCAAAAGCAACCUUGCUUUUUCAAUUUUUUCCCCCAUUCUUAAACAAUUCAAGGCGCAUGUGGUCUAAAUAGUUACAUCUUAGCCUCAACUCCAUACUGGAGAAUAGUUCAGGUGAUCAGGAGGACUGAAUUUGAUUGCUUGGAAAUCAUUGUUCAAAGACCAUUGCAGAAGUGCAACAGACUGAAGGGUAAUACGGUAUAUAACAUUUACAAGGACUAAGAUGCCAACAAAAUAAAAUAUAUGGUGCAAAAACAACAAGUUUAAGAGAUAAAACCUUAGGAACUACCUUCCUCGCCCCUACUACAACUUUUCUGCAGUUUUAAUUCAUGACCUGUCUUAUUGAGUUGGGGCCCUAACAACAUUAACAAGCAUCACAAACAACUAACAAUGCAAUGCGAAACAUCAGUCUGAAGGGGAUAGAUAAAAACCUGAAGAAUCGAAUCAACCUUACCAAUAUGUGAUAAAAACUUAUUAACAAGCCCCUGCACGAAUCAAGUCUAGAAAUAACAGCAAUGAGAAAACUGCACAUAAUAACCAACUGCAAAUAAAUCAAUAUUCUAAAUUAAGCUAAAAUUUAUAAAAAGAAUUAAAGCAAACCCUGACUGGCGCCCUUCACAAGCCCAGCGAUAUCCAGAAAUUCUAUGGCUAAGUUUGAUACAACGUAAUCGUAAUGAACCUACCCAUACCAAUUACCCCAUCAAUACUUGAGAAUUGAAUUUCAUGAAUCGAAAUAGCUCGUGUGUGAUGUAAAGAAAUACUGACAAUGGUGUUGAAGAGGGUGGGUUUUCCGACAUUAGGAAGGCCGACGAUGCCCUCUUUCAAGCACAUACGCUAAUGAAUUGGAAGCUCUUAGCGAAGAAAGAAGGGUUCGUGCACAGAAAUGAUGAUGGUGAUUUCGACGGAAGAAGGGAUAAGCUCAUAUCUCGCUAUUUCUAUGAAUCUAUUGGAUUUUACUUGGAAGCUCUCGGACAGUAAAAAUAGGGUUUAUCUGAUGAAACGGUUGGAUGGAGGGAAAAGGGAGGCAACGAAAUCGAAA